rnacentral:rRNA from 1 species
UACGAAGGGGGCUAGCGUUGCUCGGAAUCACUGGGCGUAAAGCGCACGUAGGCGGAUUGUUAAGUCAGGGGUGAAAUCCUGGAGCUCAACUCCAGAACUGCCUUUGGUACUGGCGAUCUUGAGUCCGGGAGAGGUGAGUGGAACUGCGAGUGUAGAGGUGAAAUUCGUAGAUAUUCGCAAGAACACCAGUGGCGAAGGCGGCUCACUGGCCCGGUACUGACGCUGAGGUGCGAAAGCGUGGGGAGCAAACAGG